CCUACGGGUGGCAGCAGUGGGGAGUAUUGGGCAAUGGGCGCAAGCCUGACCCAGCAACGCCGCGUGAAGGAAGAAGGCUUUCGGGUUGUAAACUUCUUUUAAGAGGGAAGAGCAGAAGACGGUACCUCUUGCAUCAGCCACGGCUAACUACGUGCCAGCAGCCGCGGUAAUAAGUAGGUGGCAAGCGUUGUCCGGAUUUCCUGGGUGGAACGGUCGUGCAGCCGGGAAGACAAGUCAGAUGUGAAAUCCCGCGGCUCAACCGCGGAACUGCAUUUGAAACUGUUUUUCUUGAGUACCGGAGAGGUCAUCGGAAUGCCUUGUGUAGCGGUGAAAUGCGUAGAUAGAAGGAAGAACAGCAGUGGCGAAGGCGGAUGACUGGACGGCAACUGACGGUGAGGCGCGAAAGCGUGGGGAGCAAACAGGAUUAGAUACCCGUGUAGUC
rnacentral:rRNA from 1 species